rnacentral:rRNA from 1 species
CGCCUGUUUAACAAAAACAUCUCUUUAAGAUUUGAUUUAAGGUUUAAUCUGCUCAAUGAAUUUUAAAUAGCUGCAGUAUAUUGACUGUACAAAGGUAGCAUAAUAAUUAGGCUUUUAAUUGGGGUCUGGAAUGAAGGAUUGGACGAGAGUUUAACUAUCUCUAUUUUAAUAAUAGAACUUAAUUUUUAAGUUAAAAAGCUUAAAUUUUUUAAAAAGACGAGAAGACCCUAUAGAUUUUUAUAGAUAAUAGUUAUUUAUUUAAUUUAGAAUUUAUUUUUGAUUUUUUAUUUCUAUUUAGCUGGGGUGGUUAAAAUAUUUUUUAAACUUUUUUUCCUUUUUACAUUUAUUUUUGGUUAUUUGAUCCACUUUUUGUGAUUAAAAGAUUAAAAUACCUUAGGGAUAACAGCGUUAUUUUUCUUUAAAGUUCUUAUUUUUAGAAAAGUUUGCGACCUCGAUGUUGGAUUAA